rnacentral:rRNA from 1 species
UGCAGUCGAACGGUAACAGGUCUUCGGAUGCUGACGAGUGGCGAACGGGUGAGUAAUACAUCGGAACGUGCCUGAUAGUGGGGGAUAACUACUCGAAAGAGUGGCUAAUACCGCAUAANAUCUCAGGAUGAAAGCAGGGGACCGCAAGGCCUUGCGCUAACAGAGCGGCCGAUGGCAGAUUAGGUAGUUGGUGGGGUAAAGGCUUACCAAGCCUACGAUCUGUAGCUGGUCUGAGAGGACGACCAGCCACACUGGGACUGAGACACGGCCCAGACUCCUACGGGAGGCAGCAGUGGGGAAUUUUGGACAAUGGGCGCAAGCCUGAUCCAGCAAUGCCGCGUGCAGGAUGAAGGCCUUCGGGUUGUAAACUGCUUUUGUACGGAACGAAAAAGCUCUCUCUAAUACAGAGGGUGAAUGACGGUACCGUAAGAAUAAGCACCGGCUAACUACGUGCCAGC